rnacentral:rRNA from 1 species
ACGGGUGAGUAAUGUCUGGGAAACUGCCUGAUGGAGGGGGAUAACUACUGGAAACGGUAGCUAAUACCGCAUAACGUCGCAAGACCAAAGUGGGGGACCUUCGGGCCUCACACCAUCGGAUGUGCCCAGAUGGGAUUAGCUAGUAGGUGGGGUAAUGGCUCACCUAGGCGACGAUCCCUAGCUGGUCUGAGAGGAUGACCAGCCACACUGGAACUGAGACACGGUCCAGACUCCUACGGGAGGCAGCAGUGGGGAAUAUUGCACAAUGGGCGCAAGCCUGAUGCAGCCAUGCCGCGUGUGUGAAGAAGGCCUUAGGGUUGUAAAGCACUUUCAGCGAGGAGGAAGGGUGAUGUGUUAAUAGCGCAUCGCAUUGACGUUACUCGCAGAAGAAGCACCGGCUAACUC